UACGUAGGUGGCAAGCGUUGUCCGGAUUUACUGGGCGUAAAGAGCGCGCAGGCGGUCGUUCAAGUCGCGUGUGAAAGCCCCCGGCUCAACUGGGGAGGGUCAUUCGAUACUGUUCGACUCGAAGGCAGGAGAGGGAAGUGAAAUUCCGCGUGUAGCAGUGAAAUGCGUAGAGAUGCGGAGGAACACCGAUGGCGAAGGCAGCCCCCUGGGCUAACACUGACGCUCAGGCACGAAAGCGUGGGGAGCAAACAGG
rnacentral:rRNA from 1 species